rnacentral:rRNA from 1 species
AUCAUGGCUCAGAUUGAACGCUGGCGGCAUGCUUUACACAUGCAAGUCGAACGGUAACAGGUCUUCGGAUGCUGACGAGUGGCGAACGGGUGAGUAAUGCAUCGGAACGUGCCCAGUCGUGGGGGAUAACGCAGCGAAAGCUGUGCUAAUACCGCAUACGAUCUAUGGAUGAAAGCGGGGGACCGUAAGGCCUCGCGCGAUUGGAGCGGCCGAUGUCAGAUUAGCUAGUUGGUGGGGUAAAGGCCCACCAAGGCGACGAUCUGUAGCUGGUCUGAGAGGACGACCAGCCACACUGGGACUGAGACACGGCCCAGACUCCUACGGGAGGCAGCAGUGGGGAAUUUUGGACAAUGGGCGCAAGCCUGAUCCAGCAAUGCCGCGUGCAGGAAGAAGGCCUUCGGGUUGUAAACUGCUUUUGUACGGAACGAAAAGGUCCGGGUUAAUACCCUGGGCUCAUGACGGUACCGUAAGAAUAAGCACCGGCUAACUACGUG